rnacentral:rRNA from 1 species
CAGCCGCCGCGGUAAUACGGAGGGUGCAAGCGUUAUCCGGAUUUAUUGGGUUUAAAGGGUCCGUAGGCGGAUCUGUAAGUCAGUGGUGAAAUCUCACAGCUUAACUGUGAAACUGCCAUUGAUACUGCAGGUCUUGAGUAAAUUUGAAGUGGCUGGAAUAAGUAGUGUAGCGGUGAAAUGCAUAGAUAUUACUUAGAACACCAAUUGCGAAGGCAGGUCACUAAGAUUUAACUGACGCUGAUGGACGAAAGCGUGGGGAGCGAACAGGAUUAGAUACCCGCGUAGUCCCUGUCUCUUAUAA